GCGCCUGUAGCUCAGCGGACAGAGCAACGGACUUCUAAUCCGUGGGUCAGAGGUUCGAAUCCUCUCAGGCGCGCCA
rnacentral:tRNA from 1 species